AUAUAUGAAUCUACUGACAAGAACAUACCUGUAAGACCUACAGAUAGCGAGAGUCCUCUGCUUUUGACUUAAAUCCAGCUGAACAGUGAGUUCAUGUUCAGAAGUUAAGGACAACCAGACAGUGAUCUGAAUUUUUCUGACCUUGAAGAUACACCACUGUUUACAUCAAUGUCUUUUGAUCCUGAACAGCAUUUGUCAAGACAAACAAGCUAAGCUCCAUCACUGACACAGCAGC